GCGCGGCUGCAGCUGCGCUCUCUGUCGUCACACAAACCGUGCCAACCUUUCCCGUCCGUCCUAAUCACCUGGUUGACCUGCAAAACUGCUCCAAAAGUGGUUCAUUUUCUAAUUCUGCUUUGUUAAAUCUGUGACUUUUAUCCCGGGAUUGGACCGGUUUCGACAUUUGGCGCAGAGACUCGCGGCUCCGAACUGGUGAACUCAAACCCUCCGAGAGAAAGACUGCAUUCAAACAAGUGCGGAACAUCACUCCCUCUCCAAACGAGAGCGCACUCCAAGAUAUAAAAAAUUUAUUGGCCCUUACCUGUCGGCAGCUGCCCGGAGACACGUCCAGCCGACGAGAACAGAAACAGAAGUCCCAGGAAAACCGACAAAAGUGAAUCCAUGGUCCCGCGAGUUCCGUUCAGCCCGUGAAGUUUUCUU